UACGGGGGGGGCAAGCGUUGUUCGGAAUUACUGGGCGUAAAGGGCUCGUAGGUGGCCAACUAAGUCAGACGUGAAAUCCCUCGGCUUAACCGGGGAACUGCGUCUGAUACUGGAUGGCUUGAGUUCGGGAGAGGGAUGUAGAAUUCCAGGUGUAGCGGUGAAAUGCGUAGAUAUCUGGAGGAAUACCGGUGGCGAAGGCGGCAUCCUGGACCAUAACUGACGCUGAGGCGGCGAAGGCUAGGGGAGCAAACGGG
rnacentral:rRNA from 1 species